rnacentral:rRNA from 14 species
GCUAGUAAUCGUAGAUCAGAAUGCUACGGUGAAUACGUUCCCGGGCCUUGUACACACCGCCCGUCACACCAUGGGAGUGGGUUCUACCAGAAGUGGCUAGUCUAACCGCAAGGAGGACGGUCACCACGGUAGGAUUCAUGACUGGGGUGAAGUCGAAACAAGGUAGCCGUAGGGGAACCUGCGGCUGGAUCACCUCCUU